rnacentral:lncRNA from 1 species
AUGAUUAACCAAAUCUUAAAUCAGAAGAAAAAAAAAUUGGGAGAGCACAUGGUACAGUUCCACGUCAUGAAUUAUUUGAGUAUUCUGCUCCAUCCAUGUCACUGGUUUCAGUGAGCCUUGGCCUCAGCUUUCUGGUGAGACUUCGCUUUUGACUGAAAAUAUUUGAGCUUAAUGGAUCCAUAAACAAUGCCGAAGGAGAAAGCAGAAGCUCUAGCGACCUACAAAUACACAAAAUGAAAA